ensembl:ncRNA Y22D7AL.17 ncRNA
AAAAAAGAAUCUAGCAGCGAGUGGUUUCGAUCCACCGACCUCUGGGUUAUGGGCCCAGCACGCUUCCACUGCGCCACGCUGCUGU